rnacentral:rRNA from 1 species
GACGAACCGUGCGAACGUUGUUCGGAAUCACUGGGCUUAAAGGGCGCGUAGGCGGCUUGCCAAGUCAGGGGUGAAAUCCUGCAGCUUAACUGUAGAAGGGCCUUUGAUACUGGCGAGCUCGAGGGAGGUAGGGGUAUGUGGAACUUCCGGUGGAGCGGUGAAAUGCGUUGAUAUCGGAAGGAACGCCGGUGGCGAAGGCGGCAUCCUGGACCGGUAUUGACACUGAGGCGCGACAGCGUGGGGAGCAAACAGG